rnacentral:lncRNA from 1 species
CAACAAGGGUUGAGCCACAUGGACCCCAAUAACUAAGCCUUCACCAGCUUCGCUCUCUCCCCUGUUGCCAAAUUAAUGUCGGCAGCUCGAUGCGUGAAGAGCAACAUAGGAGCAAGGCGCCAGUUUUGGAGAAAGGUGCCAGUUCUGGAACCAUCGCCCUCAUUGAAGGGAGAGAAUUUGAGGGGGUUGUAUUUAGAUUUUCCUUCAACGGCGACGCAAUCACGACGGAUUCGAGACACACACGAGAGAUCUCGUCUCAAUUUUUUUUCUUCUUUUUUGUGUGUGUGUGUGUGUGUGUGUGUUUGUAUUAGUGCAUCAGUUGCUGUGCCAACGCAACCCUUGACUCAGAUACACCCUAAUUGUUGGCACAAGUUGCCUCGGGACGAGCAACGUGAAGAAUGAAAUCAUGUGUAAUGCAUGGAAAUUUGUGGCAUAUUCUCUCGGUCUCAGCGUGUGUUAAAAUAUCUCGUCUCAACCCUAUAAAUUGGGUUGAAUCACCCAGGGUUGUUGAUUUCUAUGGGUUGGGUAGGUGGGUGUUCCACGGCGUGCCUGCUGUUGGCUUCUUCAAAACUCGCGCGUCUUUCUCUUGUGAGUUUCUGCCUUGCUGCAUGUAGUGGCUGUUGACAGUUGCUCACCCUAGAUUCCUGCACGUUCCAAUUAUGUGAAGUCCGCCAUGAUGUUUCCAUUGCCGGGGAAAAGAGGGACUAGUUUCAAUUUCACAUCUUUUAGGAAAACUCGCGAAGAUUUGUUCUUAACACGUAGAAUAAAUCAGAAUUUUUCUUCAAUGGUCCAAAAAGCCCGGAGAGGAAGCGGAAUCUGACAUAGGGCAAACGAACUAUAUUCACCAAGUAUAAGCGUCAGAAACCAGAGAUGGAAUUGGAGUUCUGCAGAAGUUGCCUUCACGCAAAACACAACAUUCCUUACAAACUACACCAUAUGGAUACAUAGAAAUGUAUAUAUAUUUUUUUGCUUUCUUCUUAUCGUCUUGUUCGAUAACCAAGGUGUCAGGUAGCAAACUUGGGAUCACAUUUAGUCGGCACAUUGUAGGGAUGGCAAAACAAAAUCCGUUGAGGAUGACAGCACCUCAUUAUGAUGAAACAGAUACAUAACAGCAAAGGCAGCAGCCCAUGGAGCUUUCCUGCAACUUCAGAUGUGGUCACUUCAGUUGAAAUCAUAAAAAUUGCCAAGAGAUCGUGACAUAGCUGAUACCAGAACCCACACCGAACCCCGAAGUGCGUUAGUUACACUAUAAGACAUCAAAUGCAGCACUAGCAAUAAAACAAGAAAUAAAAACUUUUCGUCAUCACUCUUCAUCUUGUUCCAAAUGUCAGAGCUAGUGUUACAACGGGAUGAAAACUCUUCCAUAACAAAUUGAUUUGAAUAUCCUCAACCAUGUUACAGAAUUGAUAUUCUCCAAGUAAAUGUCUGUAUAACAUGUCAAGUUAAUUAAACUAAAGUAGUUCAAGAAAUAUAACGUUAUUUCAAAGACGUCUAUGAACGCAAAUAUGCCACAGCUAUUAAAUGCAAAGGACUGUCUAUCAAACA